AUUGAACGCUGGCGGCAUGCCUAACACAUGCAAGUCGAACGGCAGCAUGCUCUGUAGCAAUACAGAGUGAUGGCGAGUGGCGGACGGGUGAGUAACGCGUAGGAAUCUGCCUUGAAGUGGGGGAUAACUCAGCGAAAGCUGAGCUAAUACCGCAUAAUCUCUUCGGAGUAAAGCAGGGGAUCUUUAUGACCUUGCGCUUUAAGAUGAGCCUGCGUAAGAUUAGCUAGUUGGUAGGGUAAAGGCCUACCAAGGCGACGAUCUUUAGCUGGUCUGAGAGGACGACCAGCCACAUUGGGACUGAGACACGGCCCAAACUCCUACGGGUGGCAG
rnacentral:rRNA from 1 species